ACUUGCCUAUUCUUCUACUAUCCUUCAUUUGAUUGUUUGUCAUUGACACCACUGACUUUGAAACUAUCAAUGAGGAAAAUCUGUGCCCCCUGACCAUGUUGAUUAUGCUCUUCGGAUGUGCAAUAUAGCCUUUUGCUGUAAUAUCUUGUCAGAAGUGUGCAAAAUCUGGUGGCCACCUAGAGAAAUUGGUUAGUUGAGUUGGUGCUUGAUUUUACAAAUGAUUUCUCAACUGUCAAAUAAGCCUGUCCCAGAACUUUCAUGUUCUUGUAAAGUAAUAGAAAUGAAGGUUUGUUGAUUGAUUAGUCGUUCAGUGCUUAUUUCAGACUGCAUGGUAGCCGGCUUAAUAAUUCCUGACUUUGCACCAGGCCAUAGUUUCAAGUGCUAUUUUGAUCAAAAGAAACUAGUGAUAUUUGCAUUCAGCACUUGGCUGUUUCUUUGUUAAUUGCCAAAAAAAAAAAAGAUAGAAGCUUGCCAAUAUAGAGCUGAGAAUUUAAAUACCAUUCAUAUAGCAAGUGAUUCGACUAUAUCAGACUCGUAAACGACUGCAGACUCUGCAGUAUUCUAUUAUUUUUAUCAACUGAUCACAUGUUGAACAUUGUUCCAUAUAUAAUAUUUGACGGUCUUUACUUCUUAUAAAGAUGGAGUGGUCUUUACAUGUUGAACAUUGGUUUACGUAUAAUAUUUGACUUGUGCUUCGUGGUAAUACUUUCAGGCGUGGAAUCAUUUGACAUUGAUCUCAAGGAGCAGAAAGUGACAGUAAAGGGUAAUGUACAGCCUGAGGCAGUCCUUCAGACUGUUUCAAAGACCGGGAAGAAGACUUCUUUCUGGGAAGAAGGAGCAUCAGCUGCACCUGAAUCGAAGCCCGCAGAAACUGUUGCAGAAACCGAAUCAAAGCCCGCAGAAACUGUUGCAGAAACUGAAUCGAAGCCCGCAGAAACUGUUGCAGCUGCAUAAUUUGGGUCACUAGUGGCCAGAAAGCUGUUGCUUUCACUUAUUAUGUUACUCUUAAGGAGCUAAAAUGUAUGUUACGGGUCAACAAUAAUAAACAUGUACAAUACCUCGGUGUGUGGUGUUCAGUAUUCGCUAAUUAACUGUAAGCUCCAUUUAUCUUUUAUUUGAGAUGCUCCGUGCAACAGAAACUAGAAAGUGUUUUGGCUGUCUAAAUUUAUCAAGGUGCUGAUAUUCAUGUUGUAACUAAGUUGUUCAUUUGAUUUUGUGGUAUACUUCCAACAUCAGUAAAUCAGGAACCAAGGGAUACGAAGAGUGUCAAGGUCAUGCGAAACCAUGAAUUUCAUGUAAUGGUUCUUCUGGAUAGAUUGGCUAAAAAAAAGUUGUCGCUAGCCAUUCCCAACCAUAAAAAGCCAUGCAGGACCUUGAUAUUUGGAUUGGUUUUUUCCUCAGCCACCAUUAGUUGUUUCAAUUUUGAGUCACUUGAUUAUGGGGCCGUAGGUAGGAUAUAAUCGAGGACUUGGCUGGUAGUCUUCAAAAAAUCAAGAACCCAUAUGGAAGAUAUUUGCUGCCCAUCAUUAUUAUCUAUGGAUUUGGUCAUCUGCUCGCUUAUCAUUAAAUCCGUCAGUAUCGUCCUAGGCCAUGACCUUGUGCGUUAGCUAUAAUAUCAAUGAUUUAACAUGCAUGGGGUGAUGGUGCUUUGCAAAUGCAUUUCUGAUUUAUUUAUAUAUCUCCAAAAAAAAAAAAAAAAAGGUUUCGGAAGCGUAGCCAUUGCAAACUUAAAACUGGAAAAUCAGAAAACGGAGAUAAAUUUGCCGCCUUGAGCUUGGCAUCUAUAGACACGGCUAACUAACGUAUUGUUUUGGCAAGGAAAAGACAAGCUUCCAGCCUCGUAUGGCUUUUUUUUUUUCCUUUUCUUUUCUUUAAUUUGAUUACUUUUUCUCCACGCUUUCACGUACGUGCAGUUUUCAGCUACCAUAAGAGAUACUAAUAUGUCUAAUUGCUUGCAACAAUCCACUGUUUAGAGAAGAAAACAGAAAAAGGAAGUAGUUGUAAGGAAAAGAAAGAUGCCCAUUAAUUCCAUAACAGAACACCACAAUAACCAUCAUGCAGUCCUUUGCUUCCCUCUUGCAGAAUUGCGCCAAGCACAAGUCCAUUUUCAGCGGCAAAGCAGUUCAUGCUCAGCUAAUCAGGUCCGGAUUUAUCCCAGAUGUUUAUACAAACAAUCAUAUGCCCUCGUUGUACCUACAGUUGGGGCAGAUGGGCUAUGCUCAAACCGUGUUCGACAUAAUGCCAAAACGAAACGUUAUCACUUGGACGACGUUGAUUUGCUCGUUUUCUCAGAUGGAUCUCUCGGAAAAAGCCUUAAGUUGCCUUAGGUCAAUGGUUCUUGAAGGGUUUUUGCCGAACGAGCAUACUUAUGUUGGUGCUAUAUCUGCUUGUGUUAAUACAAGGGCUGUUAGUAUUGGGAAGGAAAUUCACGGGAGGAUAUAUAGGACUCAGGAUAGUUUGAAUAGCUUUGUCAGUAAUUCUUUGGUUAAUUUUUACGGCAAAUGUGAGUUGUUGAAGUCGCCUAGGCUUGCAUUUGCUGCUAUCUUGGAGCCUAAUUUGGUUGCCUGGGCUUCACUCAUAUCUUGUUGUUUUCAGUGUGGACAGAACGAGGAAGGUUUGAAAUUGUUCUUAAGGUCCUUGAGGGUGGGAAUGACUGUUAACGAGUUCACUUGUUCGAGUGUUCUGGGUGCUUGUACUAUGUUGGAAAUUUUGGAACUUGGGAAGCUACUCCACUGCCCAGUCGUUAAGUGUUGUAUUCCUGCACAAUUGUAUUCCUGCACAAAGGAAGUGUCAUCCCCUUUACCCUGCUCAAUGAAAACAACUAUGAUAUCCCUCUUCAGCAGAGACUUUAUCCAAUAAUCAUAAUUAACCAUCUCCCUUGUACUUUCUUACGCAUACCAGCUAUAUAUCCCUUAAAUUCUCUCUAUUUUCCAUCCAGUUAUAUAUAACAAUAUAAAAAUAAACAUAUCCAAAUUAUACCAAAUUAUUCAUUUACCUUAAAUUUUAAAAAAAUAAUUUACAUUUCAUUAUUUUAACUAAUAUUUCCAUCCAUUCUAAAUAUCAAUUAUUAAAUGAAUCUUACAUUACAUAUAUAUAUGUAUAUAUAUAUAUAUAUAUGUACACGCACAUAAACAAAUAAAUAAAUAUAAAAUAAACAAACAAAACCACAAAAUAUAUAAACACUACAAAAAUUUCAACUAUUCUAUCACCUAAAAUAAAAUACUAAACACACACACACACACAUAUACAUAAAUACAUACAUACAUACAUACAUAUCACAAAAUAUAUCAUAUACCUAUAACUACAUAUUAAUACAAAAUUCACUCCAACUUUAAAUAACAUAAAAUAACUCAUAUAAACAUCAAACAAUAAAUAUUAAAAAAAUUCUACCACAAAUUCCACUAAUUAAACUCUAAAUUUUCAUAUCCAAUAAUUUUUAUUUCUUAUAUAAAAAUUUAUACACAUCACCUUAACUUCAAUAAUAUCCAUUCAUCAAUAAACUAUUAAUAUAUCAACUCUCUCAGCUCUCAAAAUCAAUAUUAUCCUUUAUUCAUUCAAAUUCUAUUAAUCAAAUCAAUUUUACUAUAUUUAUUUAUAAAUAAAUAAAUCCAAUAUAUCAAUACUCUAUCCACUCUUCCAACCCCAUUAUCAUACAAAAUACUAUAAAUCUAUACUAUUAAAUAAAUCUUUCAUUACCCUAAUAUAUUUAAUAAUGGACUCCCCGCGGAAGCCGCGGGGCACCAAGCCUAGUGAUAAUUUUAAUUCAGUCAUCAGCAAUCAUGUCUCAGGUACUCCCUUCUUCUUCUUCUUCUUCUUCUUCCCUCCGAUUUCUUGUUUGGUAGCAUUCAUGAUUAGUUUUGUAAAUUCAGGUGGAAUCAGGUUGCGAAUGCUGGUCUGUUUGGAUUGUAAGUUAUUUGGGAUUAUUUGAGAUAUUUUUACUGUAACACUUUUUGUGAUGUGAUGUAUGUGAGAUAAAAAGAUAUUGGGAAGAUAAAAAGGUGUAUUGGAAAUUGUAAAUAUAAUGUAAGCAAAUAAAAUUGGAAAAAUAUGAAGCAAUCCAAACAAACCAUAAUCUCAUAGUUUAGCUAAAAGUUUCCCGUUAGUUGCCCUACCCGAAAUUUCUCGAAUUAGAACUGAUUUGGGUGCCCUAAGAUUUAAUCGGGGUAAUUUGCUUAGUUGAAAUUAGGCUAUUUUCCGUGUUCAUGUAAGAUAAUGUGGUUACUCAUCUGUUCUUGAAUAUUUAUGUAUGUAAAAGUGUCCCUUUUUUUUUUUUUUUUUUUUUUAAAUGUAAUACAACGCUUUAUCACCGCUAGCAUUUGGUUCUACCGAAGCAUCGAGCAGGCAAUUUGGAAGUAGCAUGGGAAUAUAAGCAAUGCUUUACUCGACUUGUAAUUCUGACCUUAAUAUUUCUCAUUUUCCAUGUUUGCAGACUGUUGUCCUCAAGGUUGGCAUGUCAUGCCAAGGCUGUGUUGGAGCUGUGAAUCGGGUGUUAAGCAAAAUGGAAGGUUUGUCAACUUGCCUAUUCUUCUACUAUCCUUCAUUUGAUUGUUUGUCAUUGACACCACUGACUUUGAAACUAUCAAUGAGGAAAAUCUGUGCCCCCUGACCAUGUUGAUUAUGCUCUUCGGAUGUGCAAUAUAGCCUUUUGCUGUAAUAUCUUGUCAGAAGUGUGCAAAAUCUGGUGGCCACCUAGAGAAAUUGGUUAGCUGAGUUGGUGCUUGAUUUUACAAAUGAUUUCUCAACUGUCAAAUAAGCCUGUCCCAGAACUUUCAUGUUCUUGUAAAGUAAUAGAAGUGAAGGUUUGUUGAUUGAUUAGUCGUUCAGUGCUUAUUUCAGACUGCAUGGUAGCCGGCUUAAUAAUUCCUGACUUUGCACCAGGCCAUAGUUUCAAGUGCUAUUUUGAUCAAAAGAAACUAGUGAUAUUUGCAUUC
rnacentral:lncRNA from 1 species